rnacentral:rRNA from 1 species
GAUGAACGCUGGCGGCAGGCUUAACACAUGCAAGUCGAGCGCCCCGCAAGGGGAGCGGCAGACGGGUGAGUAACGCGUGGGAAUCUACCCAUUCCUACGGAAUAGCUCCGGGAAACUGGAAUUAAUACCGUAUACGCCCUACGGGGGAAAGAUUUAUCGGGGAUGGAUGAGCCCGCGUUGGAUUAGCUAGUUGGUGGGGUAAAGGCCUACCAAGGCGACGAUCCAUAGCUGGUCUGAGAGGAUGAUCAGCCACAUUGGGACUGAGACACGGCCCAAACUCCUACGGGAGGCAGCAGUGGGGAAUAUUGGACAAUGGGGGCAACCCUGAUCCAGCCAUGCCGCGUGAGUGAUGAAGGCCUUAGGGUUGUAAAGCUCUUUCACCGGGGAAGAUAAUGACGGUACCCGGAGAAGAAGCCCCGGCUAACUUCGUGCCAGCCGCCGCUGUAAGAC